rnacentral:rRNA from 1 species
GCCUAUGGCCAUACCAGUCUGAAAGUGCCUGAUCUCGUCAGAUCUCAGAAGUCAUGCAGACUUGAGCCUGCUUUGUAUUUGUAUGGAAGACCAACCUGGAACCUCAGGUGCCGUAAGCU